rnacentral:rRNA from 1 species
AACGAACGCUGGCGGCAUGCCUAACACAUGCAAGUCGAACGAGACCUUCGGGUCUAGUGGCGCACGGGUGCGUAACGCGUGGGAACCUGCCUUUAGGUUCGGAAUAACAGUGAGAAAUUACUGCUAAUACCGGAUGAUGUCUUCGGACCAAAGAUUUAUCGCCUUUAGAUGGGCCCGCGUUGGAUUAGCUAGUUGGUGGGGUAAAGGCCUACCAAGGCGACGAUCCAUAGCUGGUCUGAGAGGAUGAUCAGCCACACUGGGACUGAGACACGGCCCAGACUCCUACGGGAGGCAGCAGUGGGGAAUAUUGGACAAUGGGCGAAAGCCUGAUCCAGCAAUGCCGCGUGAGUGAUGAAGGCCUUAGGGUUGUAAAGCUCUUUUACCUAGGGAUGAUAAUGACAGUACCUGGAGAAUAAGACUCCGGCUAACUCCGUG